rnacentral:SRP_RNA from 1 species
UCUAGGUGUGGUGGUGCAUACCUAUAGUCCCUGCUGCUGGAGGGGAGGCUGGUGGGAUUCAGGAAUUCUGAUCUACAUGAAGGCUGAAGCCAAUUGGGUGUCUGCACUGUUGGGUACUAAUAUGGUGGACACCCAGGAAUGAAGGGCCAUCAGGCUGGCUAAACAAGGGUGAACUAGCUCAGUCUGGGAAAAUGGAAAAGGCGAAAGCUUCUGUGCUGAUCAGUAUUAGUAUCAGGCCUAUGAGUGACCACUGAACUUCUAGCCUAAAUGAGAUAUGAAAAUCCAGUCUCA